rnacentral:rRNA from 1 species
GACGAACGCUGGCGGCGUGCCUAAUACAUGCAAGUCGAGCGGACAGAAGGGAGCUUGCUCCCGGAAGUUAGCGGCGGACGGGUGAGUAACACGUGGGCAACCUACCCUGUAGAUCGGGAUAACAUCGAGAAAUCGGUGCUAAUACCGGAUAGGACCACUGCCUGCAUGGGUGGUGGUGGAAAGCUUUUGCGGUGUGGGAUGGGCCCGCGGCCUAUCAGCUUGUUGGUGGGGUGAUGGCCUACCAAGGCGACGACGGGUAGCCGGCCUGAGAGGGUGACCGGCCACACUGGGACUGAGAUACGGCCCAGACUCCUACGGGAGGCAGCAGUGGGGAAUAUUGCACAAUGGGCGCAAGCCUGAUGCAGCGACGCCGCGUGAGGGAUGACGGCCUUCGGGUUGUAAACCUCUUUCAGCACCGACGAAGCGCAAGUGACGGUAGGUGCAGAAGAAGGACCGGCCAACUACGUGCCAGCCGCCGCCGUAAGAC